rnacentral:rRNA from 1 species
GAGGAAUAUUGGACAAUGGGUGAAAGCCUGAUCCAGCCAUCCCGCGUGAAGGAUGACGGUCCCAUGGAUUGUAAACUUCUUUUGUACAGGGAUAAACCUACCCUCGUGAGGGUAGCUGAAGGUACUGUACGAAUAAGCACCGGCUAACUCCGUGCCAGCAGCCGCGGUAAUACGGAGGGUGCAAGCGUUAUCCGGAUUUAUUGGGUUUAAAGGGUCCGUAGGCGGACCUGUAAGUCAGUGGUGAAAUCUCAUAGCUUAACUAUGAAACUGCCAUUGAUACUGCAGGUCUUGAGUAAAUUUGAAGUGGCUGGAAUAAGUAGUGUAGCGGUGAAAUGCAUAGAUAUUACUUAGAACACCAAUUGCGAAGGCAGGUCACUAAGAUUUAACUGACGCUGAUGGACGAAAGCGUGGGUAGCGAAC